AUUGAACGCUAGCGGGAUGCUUUACACAUGCAAGUCGAACGAGUGGCGGACGGGUGAGUAAUAUAUCGGAAGUGCCCAGUAGCGGGGGAUAACUACUCGAAAGAGUGGCUAAUACCGCAUACUAUCGGAUAACCCAUAUGGGAUUAGCUAGUUGGUGGGGUAAAGGCUCACCUAGGCGACGAUCCCUAGCUGGUCUGAGAGGAUGACCAGCCACACUGGGACUGAGACACGGCCCAGACUCCUACGGAGGCAGCAGUGGGGAAUAUUGCACAAUGGGCGCAAGCCUGAUGCAGCCAUGCCGCGUGUAUGAAGAAGGCCCUAGGGUUGUAAAGUACUUUCAGUCGGGAGGCGUUACCGGCAGAAGAAGCACCGGCUAACUCCGUGUCAGCAGCCGCGGUAAUAC
rnacentral:rRNA from 1 species